rnacentral:sRNA from 1 species
CUCUUGAUGAUGCAGGCUUUCGUGGCCUUAGUCGGGCCUUCAUAUUUAAAGCUGAGUUUGCUGAUAUUGCUACUGCUGUAUGCUGGAUAUUGUUCUGUGAGCGCCGAUUCCUGAGACCUGUUUCUCGCACUGUGCUGAUACAAACGACUAAUGACGUCACGAAUUCCGUGGCGGGAAUACGCCCGGAAAGCUGCAGAGUUUGGCAGAUCACGUGGUCCUGCUAGAGCCUUCUGGUACUCGAGAGGAUUCAGCACUUGGUGUUUCAUAUUGGUCCUGUCCUUCUGAAGUCGGAGCUGGUCAAAGUUUGGAUAGUCCGGACUAGGCCGGUAGUUCAUUUUGAUCGGAUCCCCCGUGUAGAUGUACCGUACAUCAUUUUGUCGGGCAUAAUUCGGCGUCACUUUGAACUCUCCCAUAUUUCUAGGGUAUCACUUUUACUCCAUGCUUGUCCGAAUUUGCUACAAUCCGCGAGUAAGAAUUGAUCCGCCUGCUAGGGGCACAUCCCGUGUGGUGUUUGCUGUGUUACCUUUAAAACUAAUUGGAUAACAAAACUAAGUUAAUUUAUACGGUGUGAACAAUAGAACUGCUCCAUUACGGAGUAGUUGUUUCUGUGUGUCUCAAAGAACUUGAAACAUUUAAAAGGUGCUCGCAGACAGUUUAGACAAACAACUUAUCCCAUUUUCUAUUAACUUUGUGAUUUAUAUCGCAUUGUCCCGGGUAACUUGUAUAUGAUAUUGAUGGAUUAGAUUAUCAGAUUAAAUCUGCGAUGUUUUACAUUGGAAUUGUUCCUCAGUGUCCUUCAGAUCUCUACCCCACGAAGAAAUACUGGACAAGAGGGUCUCAAUACACACUGCUGGCACAAAUGUUUGUCAGUUGUCAUUUAAUAAACAUUGCGCUGACUUUGCAAUGUUAGAUUUCUUUUAACCAGCUCAGUGAUGCGACAUUGAUAAUUAGACGUCUGUGUCUGGAAUACAGAGACUUGAAAGUCUAGAAAGAUGAAUAUCUAUUUUUUCCAGUGUCUUUUCUGUGGUAACACUACGUAUCGAUUUUGUAAUGUAUAUAUUUUUUUAA